rnacentral:rRNA from 1 species
UCCUCCUACGGGGCGCAGCAGUGAGGAAUAUUGGUCAAUGGGAGAGAUCCUGAACCAGCCAAGCCGCGUGAGGGAAGACGGCCCUAUGGGUUGUAAACCUCUUUUGUCGGAGAACAAAACCCGGGACGAGUCCCGGACUGCGUGUAUCCGAAGAAUAAGCACCGGCUAACUACGUGCCAGCAGCCGCGGUAAUACGUAGGGUGCGAGCGUUAAUCGGAAUUACUGGGCGUAAAGGGUGCGCAGGCGGUUGAGUAAGACAGAUGUGAAAUCCCC